rnacentral:rRNA from 1 species
UAUUGGACAAUGGGCGGAAGCCUGAUCCAGCAAUGCCGCGUGUGUGAAGAAGGCCUUCGGGUUGUAAAGCACUUUCAGAGGUGAGGAAGUAUUCAUGGUUAAUAACUAUGAGUAUUGACGUUAGCCUCAGAAGAAGCACCGGCUAACUCUGUGCCAGCAGCCGCGGUAAUACAGAGGGUGCUAGCGUUAAUCGGAAUUACUGGGCGUAAAGGGUGUGUAGGUGGUUUAGGCAAGUCAGGUGUAAAAACCCCGGGCUUAACCUGGGAAUGUCGCUUGAGACUGCCUAGCUAGAGUACUAUAGAGGAUAGUGGAAUUUCCAGUGUAGCGGUGAAAUGCGUAGAUAUGGAAGGAACACCAGUGGCGAAGGCGACUAUCUAGUUGGAAACGACACGAAACACGAAGCCAUGA